GAUGAAGAACGCAGCGAAAUGCGAUACGUAAUGUGAAUUGCAAAUUCAGUGAAUCAUCGAGUCUUUGAACGCACAUUGCGCCCCCCGGUAUUCCGGCGGGCAUGCCUGUUCGAGCGUCGUUUGCAAACCAUCAAGCGGAAAUUUCCACGUCGGCUUGGUCUUGGGCCUCCGCCCCCCGGCACGCGCCGGCGGGGCGGGCCCCGAAGUCAGCGGCGGCCCGCGACGACCGCCGGAGCGUCCUCGAAUCGAACCGCUCCGGCGCGGCGCCCCGGGCCCGCCGGCAAACCAGCAACGCGCUACCCAAAAAUCCGACCUCGGAUCAGGUAGGGAUACCCGCUGAACUUAAGCAUAUCAAUAAGCGGAGGA
rnacentral:misc_RNA from 1 species